UACGGGGGGGGCAAGCGGUUGUUCGGAAUUACUGGGCGUAAAGGGCUCGUAGGCGGCCAACUAAGUCAGACGUGAAAUCCCUCGGCUUAACCGGGGAACUGCGUCUGAUACUGGAUGGCUUGAGGUUGGGAGAGGGAUGCGGAAUUCCAGGUGUAGCGGUGAAAAUGCGUAGAUAUCUGGAGGAACACCGGUGGCGAAGGCGGCAUCCUGGACCAAAUCUGACGCUGAGGAGCGAAAGCGUGGGGAGCAAACAGG
rnacentral:rRNA from 1 species